GUUGUGGCUCAGUGGUAGAGUGCUCGCCUAGCACGUGUGAGGCCCUGAGUUUGAUCCUCAGCACAACA
rnacentral:tRNA from 1 species